ensembl:lncRNA
ACAGCUGCAACUUGAGGACUAUCUGAGGAAUAUAUUGAAAAGGCCUUUAUACAGGACACAUCCUGCUACAAUGGCUGGUGGUAAAGGACUCCUUUGUUCUCUACAUGAGGCCAGAGGAUGGCCAAGUAGGCACUGUGAUUCUGUACGAUAAGGGAUUUCACAUCAAAAUAUGGACCCAGGAGACGGGAGUCAGGCAUGGAGUCACGAUUGAGAAACUUUGCAGGGCACUUACUAUCAAGUGCAGGCUCAUUGGUGGGGGCACUCCAUAGAUGUUUUUUCUUAAAUAUUUGGACAGGACUUUCUGAGGGAAAACCAUCAUGGGUCUUUCACACCUGUUAGAGUAAACACUACAUCGAAAUGGUUUGUCAACGCAGCUGGAUACUUUGAUGCCAUAGCUGUUUCUUGGAAGGAGCAAAAGAGGAAAUCUUCAUCACAGCCUGGUGGUACAGAUUAAAAUCAGUUUCAAUUACUCCCCAUUUGCCUAGCUUUUACAAUUCUGUGAGAGCUUAUGUCGCACCUUUUAAUGCACCAUUUUUUUGUACCAUUGCUAUUUUUUGUGACUGCAAUGUGAUUUGAGAUGUUUUACAAAAGGAGAAGAAUACAUAAAUGGUUUUUUAGUACUGUGGUCUCAUUGGCUAAUCAUUUUAAUGAUACUGAACCAAGCAAGUAUAUAUUUUUAAAGGAAUAGUUCAUUAGCAAG